AGGAGGUGCAGCGUUCUCUCCUGAGAGUGAAGCCGACUCUCAGUGUUGCCUUUGUAACACCUGUUUGCUGUUGAUCUUUCUCUUUUGGAAGAGCAAGAAGGGGAGGACACCGUCCGA